GGCCCCGGCCAGCCUGGGCGGAGGGGGCUGCGGCGAUGGGCGGCGCCAGGCGCUGGGACAGGCUAGGCGCUGGGACAGGCUGUGCGCCGAAGGAGAGCGGCAGGGGAUCGGAUCGACACGCCCGGGCGGGCUGCAGAGACAUUCUACCUCUGGAAGAAUGAAUGCUGAGGCUCAAAGGAGAAUAAAGUGAAUAAAUUCUGCUGAUCUUUCAAUGAAGCUGCUUCAUAUUCCUGAACUACUCAUAAAUUUGAUGUCAGCUGAAGUGCUGUGUUGCUCCCACAAGGUCUGUGUAGAAGGAGAUCAGACAGCUGGAUGGGGAAGAAAUAACAUCUGGGGUGCUAAACAGGGGACAAGGCAACCCUUAAUCAUGGCCCUGAAGUCAGUGAAUGACCAAGGCUGGAGGCCAAGAAUGACCUUUGAUGAUGGCAAGGAUCUCUUCCAACCUCAACAGUUCUGUACUUCUAUGAUCUCGCUCUUAUCAUAGAACCAUAGAAUGGUUUGGGUUGGAAGGGAUCUUCAAGAUCAUCCAGUUCCAAGCCCCCCACCAUGGAGAGGGUCACUUUCCUCUAAAGCAGGCUGCUCAAGGCCUUGUCCAACCUGGCCUUGAACACCUCCAGGGAGAAGGCAUCCACAGCCUCCCUGGGCAACCCAUUUCAGUGUCUCACAAUUCAAAGGAGCAAUAACAGCUAACUGAAAAGCUCUGGAAUCUUCUGUUGUACCUUUCAAAGCAUAAUGAAACAAGGAUGUUUGAAGAAGCUGCAGCUAAUCCUUCUAUAAAGUUUCUCCACAAAGCUGGACUCUGAGUGACCCUCAAGAAAAAUAUUUACUGCAGCAGAGACAGGAACAAAGAGAGAAGCAUGACUGAACACCUGAACUGCCCCAACUCUCACAGCGUGUCCCCAUGGGGGAAGCACUCCAGAUCUCUGAUCAUUUCCUUGGCUUCUUCUGGACCUGCUCCAACAGUCUGAUGUCCUUCUUGUAUUGGGGACCACAGAACUAGACACAGUUCUCCAGGUAAGGUCUCAUGAGAGCAGAGCAGAGGGAGAGAAUUAGCUCCCUUGUCCUACUGGUCACACUUCUUUUGAUGCAGCCCCAAACACAUGGUAAAUCAAAGCUGUGAGUGGGAAGAGAUGCUUCCUUCUGCUCUACUGGCACAGACCACUGUAGCACCUACUACAAUACCACACCUCGUUUGGAGUUCAUUGACUUGAGGUUAGCUUGCCCUGGGGUGAAGACCUGCCGUGUGUGAUCUUUCUUAUGAUCAGAUCUUUCCCAGAGAAGUAAACUCUGAAUUGAAGGAGCUGUCAAUAUAGCUGCUAAUUGAACUUCUAAUACAACUGAUGGCCUGCAAAACCAGCACAAGCAAGAACACACACCACAGCUGGAGGCAAGUCAUUUGGAGUUCACUGAACUGGAGACAGCUUGCUGUGAGGUGAAGAGCACACACAACGUAGCUGAAGACAACACAUGAGAUUUGAAUCGAUGCCCAGAAACAGGCGAAGGAGAUUGAAAACAUGCCUCAGACCUCUUCAUUGAGUUGAAUGACUCUUCUGUUCUUUCCUCAGCAAGUUUUCUUUCACCCAUAGGGAAAAAGUCCCUCCAGGAGGUCACUGUUAAUAAAGGAAAAGGCACUCCUUCA